rnacentral:rRNA from 1 species
CAGUCGCCGCGGUAAAACGAAGGGUGCAAGCGUUAAUCGGAAUUACUGGGCGUAAAGCGUGCGUAGGCGGUGAGUUAAGUCUGCUGUGAAAUCCCCGGGCUCAACCUGGGAAUGGCAGUGGAUACUGGCUCGCUAGAGUGUGUCAGAGGAUGGUGGAAUUCCCGGUGUAGCGGUGAAAUGCGUAGAGAUCGGGAGGAACAUCAGUGGCGAAGGCGGCCAUCUGGGACAACACUGACGCUGAGGCACGAAAGCGUGGGGAGCAAACAGGAUUAGAUACUCCAGUAGUCCCUGUCUCUUAUAC